AUUGAACGCUGGCGGCAGGCCUAACACAUGCCAGUCGAACGAGUGGCGGACGGGUGAGUAAUGUCUGGGAAACUGCCUGAUGGAGGGGGAUAACUACUGGAAACGGUAGCUAAUACCGCAUACCAUCAGAUGUGCCCAGACGGGAUUAGCUUGUUGGGGGGGUAACGGCGCACCAAGGCGACGAUCCCUAGCUGGUCUGAGCGGAUGACCGGCCACACUGGAACUGGGACACGUUCCAGACUCCUACGGGAGGCGGCAGUGGGGAUUAUUGCACAAUGAGCGCAAGCCUGAUGCAGCCAUGCCGCGUGUAUGAAGAGGGCCUUCGGGUUUUAAAGUACUUUCAGCGGGGAGGCGUUACCCGCAUAAGAAGCACCGGCUAACUCCGUGCCAGCAGCCGCGGUAAUUC
rnacentral:rRNA from 1 species